UGGGGAAUCUUGGACAAUGGGGGCAACCCUGAUCCAGCCAUGCCGCGUGAGUGAUGAAGGCCUUAGGGUCGUAAAGCUCUUUCGCCUGUGAAGAUAAUGACGGUAGCAGGUAAAGAAACCCCGGCUAACUCCGUGCCAGCAGCCGCGGUAAUACGGAGGGGGUUAGCGUUGUUCGGAAUUACUGGGCGUAAAGCGCACGUAGGCGGACCAGAAAGUUGGGGGUGAAAUCCCGGGGGCUCAACCCCGGAACUGCCUCCAAAACUAUUGGUCUAGAGUUCGAGAGAGGUGAGUGGAAUUCCAAGUGUAGAGGUGAAAUUCGUAGAUAUUUGGAGGAACACCAGUGGCGAAGGCGGCUCACUGGCUCGAUACUGACGCUGAGGUGCGAAAGUGUGGGGAGCAAACAGGAUUAGAUACCCUGGUAGUCCACACCGUAAAACGAUGAAUGCCAGUCGUCGGGUAGCAUGCUAUUCGGUGACACACCUAACGGAUUAAGCAUUCCGCCUGGGGAGUACGGCCGC
rnacentral:rRNA from 1 species